GCCGCCGGGAGUUUCAGUACCCGACCGCUGAGGUACGGGAGCGACCGGAAGGUUGCAGUCGCUGGUGGACACAACACCUUUGUUUGUAUGUGGUGCUGAGGAUCGAACCCAGGAUGCAUGCAUGCCAGAAAACCAGCUGCGUUGGAAGACUAACUCACCUCCAUGAAGCUUGAUCAUCAGGCCACCAGGAGCAGAAGCAGGACACUUGAAUCAGCUCAGUAGGACCAGGAUGGCUGCAGACCAGGAGCCUAGGACCUG